AAACGACUCUCGGCAACGGAUAUCUCGGCUCACGCAUCGAUGAAGAACGUAGCAAAAUGCGAUACUUGGUGUGAAUUGCAGAAUCCCGUGAACCAUCUAGUUUUUGAACGCAAGUUGCGCCCGAAGCCAUCCGGUUGAGGGCACGCCUGCCUGGGCGUCACG
rnacentral:rRNA from 1 species